UGGGGAAUCUUGCACAAUGGAGGAAACUCUGAUGCAGCGACGCCGCGUGAGCGAUGAAGCCCUUCGGGGUGUAAAGCUCUUUCGACGGGAACGAUAAUGACGGUACCCGGAGAAGAAGCUGCGGCUAACUACGUGCCAGCAGCCGCGGUAAUACGUAGGCAGCAAGCGUUGUUCGGAAUUACUGGGCGUAAAGAGUGUGUAGGCGGUUCUCUAUGUUCGGUGUGAAAUCUCCCGGCUUAACUGGGAGGGUGCGCCGAAAACUGGAGGGCUUGAGUAUGGGAGAGGAAAGCGGAAUUCCUGGUGUAGCGGUGAAAUGCGUAGAUAUCAGGAGGAACACCUGCGGUGUAGACGGCUUUCUGGACCAUCACUGACGCUGAGACACGAAAGCGUGGGUAGCAAACAGGAUUAGAUACCCUGGUAGUCCACGCCCUAAACGAUGCAUACUUGGUGUGAGCCGUUCAUUCGGUUCGUGCCGGAGCUAACGCGUUAAGUAUGCCGCCUGGGGAGUACGGUCGCAAGGC
rnacentral:rRNA from 1 species